rnacentral:rRNA from 1 species
UACGGGGGGUGCAAGCGUUGUUCGGAAUCAUUGGGCGUAAAGAGCGUGUAGGCGGCUUGAUAAGUCAGAUGUGAAAGCCCUGGGCUUAACCCAGGAAGUGCAUUUGAUACUGUCUGGCUAGAGUAAGGGAGAGGAAAGCGGAAUUCCUGGUGUAGAGGUGAAAUUCGUAGAUAUCAGGAGGAACACCGGUGGCGAAGGCGGCUUUCUGGCCCUAUACUGACGCUGAGACGCGAGAGCGUGGGUAGCAAACAGGAUUAGAUACCCUGGUAGUCCACGCCGUAAACGAUGUUCACUAGGUGUUGGGGGUAUUGACCCCCUCAGUGCCGCAGCUAACGCAUUAAGUGAACCGCCUGGGAAGUACGGUCGCAAGACUAAA